rnacentral:lncRNA from 1 species
GGCAGGAGGAGGAAAGUUUGAAAAGUCACUUAAAGCAUUGCAAGAUUCUCCCCCACCCCCAGCACCGGGAGAGCCCACCGCACAGAGAGAAGCCGGGCCUCCACGUGCGCAGCGGGCCCAGGAGAAGCUGGAGUUCCCUCUAGGUCCUCGAACAUACAAGAGAUGAAGAACAUUACCGAAAUGUAAUCAGAGAAACUCCGUUAAGGGGAAGUCCCAUCCGGUGACCUGCCUGCCUCACUGGAGGAAAGAAGAGAAACAGGCAGGAGGUGGAGAGACCACUUGCCUUGCUGAUUGAGAGGCGGCGGUGGCAAGACCUAGAGGAACCUGAGCCUCCAAGCAGCAAUACCCUUUCCUGGGCACUAAGAGGACCACAGGCUGCCUGAGCGAGCACUUACACACCCUUCUGGCUGGCCUAGGUUGCGCCUUAGGCGAGGGAAAGUAUCUCAAAAUAAAGUUUUUUAAGGAAAAGAAAAGCUG